rnacentral:rRNA from 1 species
AGAGUUUGAUCAUGGCUCAGGACGAACGCUGGCGGCGUGCCUAACACAUGCAAGUCGAACGGAGAAUUUCGAAGAGUUUACUUUGAGAAAUUUUUAGUGGCGGACGGGUGAGUAACGCGUGGGUAACCUACCCAUAAACCCGGGACAACCCUUGGAAACGAGGGCUAAUACCGGAUAAUCUUAGAUCUUGGCAUCAAGGUUUAAGGAAAGGUGGCCUCUGAAUAUGCUACCGAUUAUGGAUGGACCCGCGUCUGAUUAGCUAGUUGGUGGGGUAAAGGCCUACCAAGGCGACGAUCAGUAGCCGGCCUGAGAGGGUGAACGGCCACACUGGGACUGAGACACGGCCCAGACUCCUACGGGAGGCAGCAGUGGGGAAUCUUCCGCAAUGGACGAAAGUCUGACGGAGCAACGCCGCGUGUAUGAUGAAGGUCUUCGGAUUGUAAAGUACUGUCUUUGGGGAAGAAUGACUGAUUUGAAAAUAUUGAGUCAGUAUGACGGUACCCAAGGAGGAAGCCCCGGCUAACUACGUGCCAGCAGCCGCGGUAAUACGUAGGGGGCAAGCGUUGUCCGGAAUUAUUGGGCGUAAAGGGCGCGUAGGCGGAUAGUUAAGUCCGGUGUGAAAGAUCAGGGCUCAACCCUGAGAGUGCAUCGGAACUGGUUAUCUUGAGGACAGGAGAGGAAAGUGGAUUCCUAGUGUAGCGGUGAAAUGCGUAGAUAUUAGAGACACAGUGGCGAGCGACUUUCUGGACUGUACUGACGCUGAGCGCGAAAGCGUGG